GACGAACGCUGGCGGCGUGCUUAACACAUGCCAGUCGAACGGAAAGGCCCUGCUUUUGUGGGGCGCUCGAGUGGCGAACGGGUGAGUAACACGUGAGUAACCUGCCCUUGCCUUUGGGAUAACUUCAGGAAACUGGGGCUAAUACCGGAUAGGAGCUCCUGCUUCAUGGUGGGGGUUGGAAAGUUUCGGCGGUUGGGGAUGGACUCGCGGCUUAUCAGCUUGUUGGUGGGGUAGUGGCUUACCAAGGCUUUGACGGGUAGCCGGCCUGAGAGGGUGACCGGCCAAAUUGGGACUGAGAUACGGCACGGAGUCGUGCGGGAGGCAGCAGUGGGGAAUGUUGCACAAUGGGGGGAAGCCGGAUGCAGCAACGCCGCGUGCGGGAUGACGGCCUUCGGGUUGGAGGCCGCUUUCGCCUGUGACGAAGCGUGAGUGACGGUAAUGGAUAAAGAAGCACCGGCUAACUACGUG
rnacentral:rRNA from 1 species